CAGUGAUGACCACAAGAGAUUUACAGAUUCAGUUUUAAGGUGAGUUUAAAAAUAUGAAAAGAAAAUAUAUUAUUUUUCAUAAAUGACUCAGUACCAUUACAUACAUACAGCAUUAAUGCAACUUUUUAGAACACUGAAUGUUAAACAGUUUGAUUUGGUAAAAUUAAUGCAAUGAUGCUGUUUAUUUAUUAAACAAUUAAAAAUGCAUUCGUGUUGAAGGCUACGUGGUGAAGACCUUACUUCGACUGAUAAUGGGUUUUAACUUGGAUUGAGAGAUGUGUCAUUGACACUCAUACCACAUCUUCUUAUAUCUAUCUAUAAAUCACAGGAUUUCAAAUUUGAUGAUAAAAGAAAAUUAGUAAAAAUCCAUAAUAAUUAUUAAAAAAAUCAUAUUUAAUAUAUUAAAACAAAUUCUUAAUUUCAGACAUGACUACAUUAAAGUUACCAGUUUUAUUAGUAUGUGUGCUUGUAAUACACCACACGGUGGCAGCACCAGCCUUACAUGAUAUGGUGGCAGCACCUGCAUUACAGAUAUCAAAGAAGUUCCACGCGCCAACAGAUGGAUCAUGUGACUAUACAUCGUUGUUGAGAUGUCUCGUGAGCUCGACUACUACAUUAUAUGAUGACUGUGUUACUAAGUGUGAGAACGACUACGAUACAAGACACAAAUGUCAAAAAGUAUGUUAUGAAACAGGCUAUACAAAACUUGAAGCAUGUAUCAUAAACUUUAGCAUCAGAGCUAAGUACGAGUUUUAGUAGUUUUAGUGACAGUUUACGAAUGAACAUUGUACGAUUCCGGAUUUGUGGUGAUAAGAACGUUGAACAUAAAAAGUUUAUUUAGCACUUCAACUUGCUUCGUAGAUUAACAAAAACCGACCAGUACUACUGCCUUUUGGAGAUUAUCACUCAGUCUGCCGUAUCAGAAAUAUAUUUAAAUUGUUGCUUAACUAUAUGUAAUGUGUAUAUAAUACCACACUGUAAAGGUAACCGUACAUUUUCAUUGAAAAACAAAUCCAUUUUUGUAUACACAAUCGAUAUUAAAAGUGUUAAUAGAAACAUUGUAUUAACUCGUUUAAAUAUUUUGCAUGGGAAAAAA
rnacentral:lncRNA from 1 species